rnacentral:rRNA from 1 species
CAGUCGCCGCGGGAAUACAGAGGGUGCGAGCGUUAAUCGGAUUUACUGGGCGUAAAGCGUGUGUAGGUUGUUGUUCAAGUCGGUUGUGAAAUCCCUGGGCUCAACCUGGGAACUGCUUCUGAGACUGAACGACUAGAGUACGGUAGAGGGUGGUGGAAUUUCCGGUGUAGCGGUGAAAUGCGUAGAUAUCGGGAGGAACAUCAAUGGCGAAGGCAGCCACCUGGGCCUGUACUGACACUGUGACACGAAAGCGUGGGGAUCAAACAGGAUUAGAUACCCGAGUAGUCCCUGUCUCUUAUAC